CCGAGGCCGCUCCAGAAACCCUAGCCUCUUUCCCUCCUCAAGCCGCCGCCACCUCCUUUCCCCUCUUCUCUUUUUGAUUCUUCUCUGUGAGUAUGCCGAGAGCACCACCACCGUCUACCUCCGGCUGCCGACGCCAUGGUCGCCGUCCACGCGACCUGAGUGCGGGAAUCAAACCACCACCUCUCCCUCUUCGUCCUGGACGCCUUCGCGGAGCAGGAGACGCCAAGAUCUGCUCGAGUUCGACACCAUCUGCUUCGUCUACGUCUCGGCCAUCUCGUCUUCCUCGUCGCCGGCGACCUUCUCUGCCGCUUCCUCCUCGUCUCCGACCACCCCAGGCAUUUGCUUCUUCCCGGAUAGGAUCGCGAAGUGGUGUGGUGAGAUACGACGAGUUCUCCGGAUGUCCCUCGGCAAGCUUUAACAGGCAAGCAUUUUCCCUUAUACUCCUGUCCCUGCAGGAGUCGCUCACCUAUUUUAUUUUGCCUUCUCCCUCAUGCUAUCCUUAAGUUGCGUUCUUGUCACGUGUCCCUUCCACUUGUUACCUCAAGCAGCCUAUAUUGACUCCACCAACCACCUACAGCUAUUGUUUGGUUAUCGGGUCUGCCUUGCGAGUCGUAGUGCAUGCUAGUGCUAUUUUAUCUCGUUACCGUUGUUGUUAUCUUAUCGGGAUAUGUUGGGUUGUUGGGAGGUUAUCACAUGCUAUAUCAAUUGUUGGAGAUACACAUGAUUUACUUAAUUGUUAACAACUAAAAUUGUAAGCAGAGGCAUCUGUGAGCCCCUUUGCGAAAGCAUCGGAACUUUGACUUGCUAAUGUCCCCUAGGACCCGAGUUCUUGUUAUCUGUUCCGAGAUUGAGCGCUCUACCCGUACGUGGGGGAGUGGGACCCCCAUCACCCACUACCUUUCCUCGAGUCUGUUUAUUGGGAGCCACAACCUUGGUUUUAUUUGCCUAUGCCAUGCUUUACUUACUGUUGCCUUCGGGUGUUUACUUCCUGUUGCCUUCGGGUGUUUAUAUUCUGUACUGUACCUUGCGGGACAUUUAGCGAAGCGUGUGGUUCGCAUGGCUAGCCGCCGGCGCAAACCUCUGGGUCCGUAUCGGAGUACGGCCGGACUUCGUCACGGGUAGCUUAGUUGGGUGGCUCCCAUUUAAACUUUCUCUUGCAUUGGGAACGGUCUUGAUGUGAGACUCCACCUGUAGUAAGUGGGUUCGAGCAUGCGUAUGGUUACAUUUGGGCAACCCCUGCAGGGUGUACAUCUUAUCGAUAAGCCGUGUCCACGGUUAUGGACGACUUGGAGCUGUUUAACUCGAUCAUAGAACAACUUACACCUUAUACUUGUUGUUAAUAAUCUGAUAAUAACUUGCGUAGUAAUAUAGCCUUACUACAACCGAUACCUAAUAAAACUUGUCCACCGUUGAGUGCCUUUUACAUUGCCUCUUCGCAAUUGUUGGAGGGGAUAUGUGUAAUCGGCUGGGUUAUGUUUGUGUACUAUUUUAUCUGUUACCUUAUGCGCUCUCUCACCUUCUCUGAUUAGACGAAUGUCGUAGAGUGUCUCUAUAGGUUUUUAGUGCUUGCGCUGCCGCUUACCUCCACCAUAUUGCCUAUGACGUUCCUCUUGCGUCCUCUAAGUCCCCUGCGUGCCUCAAGUACAAAGGACGACUGGUUGACGAAUGCUUAUACGUCUUGAAGUCUUGUUAAGUACGAACCCGUACUUAUUGCUGCUUCUACGGGAUAUAACCGGGCAGGUAUGAAGAUAUAUUCGAUGAAGACGACGUUAGCAAGGUUACCCUUCCGGCUUGGCCUGGGCAGGGUUAUGGACGCCACUUGUUAUCUUCAGGACUCUUAGUCCAAUUUGUAUCUUGUUCGUACUCGGACGUAUUCGAUCUUCUGUAUGAGUUGGAUCUUUGUAUUGUAUAUUUGUAUCUUGACUCGUUGGAGUCGUUGUUGUAAUAUAUGUAUCUUGUGCGCUCUAUUGUAAUCCUGUUGUAAUGUUACUGCUCAUGUUAAUUCCUCUGGCAUCACGUGUGUGAUUCG